GAGUUUGAUCCUGGCUCAGGAUGAACGCUAGCGGCAGGCUUAAUACAUGCAAGGCGAGGGGGCAGCAAUGUCACCGUCGUACGGGUGCGUAACGCGUAUGCAACCUACCUUCAACUGGGGGAUAGCCCGGGGAAACCCGGAUUAAUACCGCAUAAUACAGGGGGCCCACAUGGGUCUAUUUGUUAAAGAUUUAUUGGUUGAAGAUGGGCAUGCGUUCGAUUAGCUAGUUGGUAUGGGUAACGGCCUACCAAGGCGACGAUCGAUAGGGGAGCUGAGAGGUUGAUCCCCCACACGGGCACUGAGAUACGGGCCCGACUCCUACGGGAGGCAGCAGUAGGGAAUAUUGGGCAAUGGAUGCAAGUCUGACCCAGCCAUGCCGCGUGCCGGAUGAAGGCCCUCAGGGUUGUAAACGGCUUUUAUUCGGGAAGAAGAGCGGGGAUGCGUCCCUGUGUGACGGUACCGAAUGAAUAAGCACCGGCUAACUCCGUG
rnacentral:rRNA from 1 species